GAAGAGCUUGAGGAAAGCGGUUUGGUGUUAAGCGUCCCAAGCGAACUAAAUGUUCCAAGUGGCCCACUGACGCUGCCAUUCCCACCGCUGAUACCAACGGAUAACUGACUCUCGCCUGCGAAACCGGACACCAUACUUGUUGUCCUGUAGAAUGCAAACAUAAUUUGAGUAUUAGGGAAGUAUAAUGGUUGAUCAUAGGCGUGUAUAUUUACUGUAUCAUUUUGCUCUUUUAUAUAUUGCAAUUGCAGAUUUGCAUGUCCAGGAAUAUUUUGCAAUAUUAAUAUUAUAAUAUUAAUAGCAAAACAAAUUUCGAUCGUCGGAUGUUACACACGUGACUUGAAUUUUCGUCGGCAAAGCAGCGUAACACAGAGGAUAGCCUGGAAACUGUUUUUGCAGCUUCAACCAGUUUCGAAUUUAAUCAUUCUACAGUUUAGUUAUUAUUUCAAAUUUUGGCAAAUAUUUAUUUUCUUUUUUAAUAUUUUAGUGUUGAUCGAGUACUAUGUUUGAUUUGGUGUUCCGUGAAGGGUAACGAUCUAUAGGUCGAGGCGAGCUUUACCUAUCGGAGAUGUCGCGCUCGAGGUCGAUCAUGUCUUCAGGUAUCUCACGUCCGCUUUAAGCAGAAUACGAUGCGUAAUGGACACUAAGAAAGGCGUAACGGGGAAACACGAGUUCGGUGAAAACAAACAAAUAGGACAAGGCAAAGGUAAAAAGAAGGAAGCGACGUGGAUUUGAGGAGAACGUGGAGACGUUAACAGAAGGAACACAAAGAAGAAGAAGAAGAAGGAGAAGAAGAAAGAUGAAAGGGGAAGAGAGAAAAGACGAGAAAGUAUGUGCAGGGCGAGAGGGAGGUCGAGGGUAUGCUUCGUUGAGCGUGGAAUCAAUAGGAGGUCACUGGCAUCAGUAGAUACAAUCGGCACAUUUUAAGUCCGUCUCGCUAUUGUACAGCUUACCUCUGAUAGAACUCAAUUUAAUGGAUUUCGAAUGUAAGGUAGUUGCACCGUGAAUUUAUUUAUGUUCGAGGCUACUUUUUCUAGUUUAAAAGGUGCGUUUAUUCUUAAUUGUUUAGUAUGUGAAAAAACUGUAAGUUGGAAUUAUUUUGUGACCUGGAACGAUCCCCUAAAUAGGCGGCCCUGCAGCAUUUAUCAUUCAAAGUUAGUUUACAGUGAAAACGAGGUAACGCAACCCUAGAUUCGAUCAACUGCUUUAUAUGGUCGAUCAUUUUAACACAGCGACAAGAGUUUGUACUCGUAGGCCUGGUGUUGCAUUGUCCAACCAUGAUAUAACCAUAUAACAUGACAAAUUCCCCCACUUCUGGCCAGCAGCGUAAGCUUGCGCUGUAGGUUGCCAUAGAUACAUGUUUCUCUCAGGGUGUUCAACUUUUGAUACGAGAAGAAUAAAGUGUCAAUAUCUGGUAGAAAAUAACGAUAAUUACUGAAUCAGCGAUCGCUUCGUAAACAAUUACUUAAGUUUGAUGUUCUGUGUCGAGCGAGGGUCGACAAAAAUUGAAAUCAGAAAUUAGACCUAAUCUAGGUCGAGUCCAAACCUAAAACAGACAGACGAGUUCGAGUUUAAACAUGAAUUUAUUUCAUCGAACUAUGAAUUACAUACCAUAACUCGAAAAUUGGAUACAAAGUAAUAGAAACGAAUUUAGUAAACGUAUUAUACUAUUACAAUUAAAUUAAGAUUACGAUUUAAAAAAGAAGCUAUCUACUCUUUGUCCUUUCAGUUGAUUUGAAUUUUGAGUUAAUCCCCUUUCCGAUUGUUGGUAUAAGUUGCGUUCGAGAGCGCAGUGCUACAAAUAUAAUUAUUUUCGUAAGGGCUAAUCAAACACAGUGUAUCCCCACUACUACCCCCAAGUUUACUUGUUGCUUAGCGACCAUCCCCUCCACUCAUAGACGUCGUGCAAUGAACGAGGUUCGCAUGCAAUAAUCGAGGUUCUUCUUUAUCUACAGGGAUUACUUUUCCGUGCAUUGGUAUUUUUUGAGCAAGUUCAUUAAAAAAAUAUCGACCUGCCACCUCCUCCACCAUUCGAGUCAUUUUCGAUAACCGUUCAAUUAAACUGUCGCAAGUUGAAUUCGGUUUCGAACCACUUUUGACAACCUUAGUCAACCGUACCCUUUGUUUUUGGAAUCGACCUUCCUUAUUUCGGUCCUACUUUCGCGGUGCAAAAGCCCAUUAACAGGCUCGAAAACGGUCGAUACAUUAUAGAAAUCGACCCUUUUCGACCCUCUUAAUUGGCUUCUGCGCCGCUUUGAAGUUCGCUCAGCCGGCUUUUAUUUUCACUGUUGUGUUUUCACAAAGAAACAUGUAGCAUCGAGGAUUUACUCAAUAGUUUUCAUGACCGGUUGACCGAAUUACUUCAAAUCUGGAGAAUGUGAAUAGGUAUGGAGGUUCCCUUCGCACAGACGUGUCCCUUCGACGAUUAAAAAACGAAUAAUCGUUUCAAGAAACAUUUGAAAAAUGUCGCAAAUCAGGAAAUUAGUCGAACAAAAAUUCCGUAUUACGUACGCAGUGACUGUGUCACAGUCCCCAUUUAUCUUUAGUUAAAUCAGUUUUCCACGCACUCGUAACCUAUUUCUCUACUCAGUUUCCUUUUUAACAGACUUCGAAAAGGAGGUCAUUCAAUUCGACAUGUAUAAUUUUUGUUUCAAUGCAACAGUUUAUCGCACGCAAAAUUAACGAAGAGAUCAAAAUCCAUUUAACCCAAGAGCAAGGAAAAAACAUUUUCAUUUCUAAAGUAAUUAUAUCGGUAACACAGUGCUCUAGAGCACAAAUCAUACCAACAGUCGGAUAGCGGAUUAACUCAAAAUUCAAAUCAACUGAAAGGGUAAAUUCUAACUUUGAUAAGUCGAGCAGAUAGCUUUUUUUAAAUCGUAAAUUCAAUUUAAUUGUAAUAGUGUUAUACGUUUACUAAAUUCACCGAUAUUAUUUUCGUAUUUAAUUUUCUAAUUAUAUAACAAAAAUUGCAUAAUCGAGUUCCUAGGCGUGUGGAAUUCGUAAAUUUAUAAAUUUAUAAAUUCAGUUUGAAACUUGUAUUUGUGUAUCUGUUAAGGUAAUACCUUUUUAUUUUGUAAUUCAGGUAACUGUAACUUUCAAUUAAUAUUUAUGUAGUUAAUAUUUUUAGUAUCUUACAUCCUUGACGUACGAAUCUUAAGUUUAGGUUAUCAAAAUUAGGUUUCUAAAAUUCAGGUAACGAUCGUUUUUGUCACUUGUAUCGUCGAAAAUCGAUUAUUAAUAAAACUAGACACCCUAGUGUCAGAAUGUUAUCAAAAUUAUUAAUAAUUCAAUGAUAAUCGUUAAAAUUAAAGAUUAUCGCGGCCUUAUAAUUUGUUUAGAGAAACUAGUACUUCAAUUGAUACUCCACUAC